AUAUAAGUAGUUUAAUAAUAAAAAUGUUGAUUUGUGGUGUCAGAGAUUUAAUUUAAUGUUAAUUUAU
rnacentral:tRNA from 1 species